rnacentral:rRNA from 1 species
GAUGAACGCUAGCGGCAGGCCUAAUACAUGCAAGGCGAAGGGGCAGCAAUGUCACUGUCGUACGGGUGCGUAACGCGUAUGCAACCUACCUAUCACAGGGGGAUAGCCUUUGGAAACAGGGAUUAAUACCGCAUAAAGCAGGGACACCGCAUGGUGAUAUUGCUAAAGAUUUAUCGGUGAUAGAUGGGCAUGCGUCUGAUUAGUUAGUUGGCAGGGUAACGGCCUACCAAGACGAUGAUCAGUAGGGGGCGUCAGAGCGUGGUCCCCCACACUGGCACUGAGAUACGGGCCAGACUCCUACGGGAGGCAGCAGUAGGGAAUAUUGGGCAAUGGAUGCAAGUCUGACCCAGCCAUGCCGCGUGCAGGAAGAAGGUCCUCUGGAUUGUAAACUGCUUUUGAAUGGGAAGAAUGUGAUGUUUGCGAGCAUUAAUGACGGUACCAUUAGAAUAAGCCACGGCUAACUACGUGCCAGCCGCCGCGGUAAGAC